CCUACGGGAGGCAGCAGUGAGGAAUAUUGGUCAAUGGACGCAAGUCUGAACCAGCCAAGCCGCGUGCAGGAAGACGGCUCUAUGAGUUGUAAACUGCUUUUGUACGAGGGUAAACGCAGAUACGCGUAUCUGUCUGAAAGUAACGUACGAAUAAGGAGCGGCUAACUCCGUGCCAGCAUCCGCGGUAAUACGGAGGAUUCAAGCGUUAUCCGGAUUGAUUGGGUUUAAAGGGUGCGUAGGAGGUCGGAUAAGUUAGAGGUUAAAUCCCGAGGCUCAACUUCGGAAUUGCCUGUGAUACGGUUCGGUUAGAGUGUAGUUGCGGUAGUCGGAAUGUCUGGUGUAGCUGCGACAUGCUU
rnacentral:rRNA from 1 species